rnacentral:lncRNA from 1 species
UGCAGCUCGCGCAGUCCGCCUCCGGGGCUCCCGGGAAAGAACGGCGAGCUCCCGCUAACCCCGACUCGCGCUCACGCAGGCCGAAGUGGAGCAGAAGAAAAAGCGAACCUUCCGCAAGUUCACCUACCGUGGCGUGGACCUCGACCAGCUGCUGGACAUGUCCUAGUAAGAGGCCCCGUCACCUUGGUCCGCUGGGUUUCUGUCCGUUUGCGUGUUUUUUUCUGUGCGUGGUGCUGGAGAUGGAGACAGGAACUUAACACACAAAAACCACACGGAGAGACGACUCCCGAUCUUCCUGUCUCAACCUCUCAAGUGUUUGGGUCACCAUCACGGUGCUGGGCAUCAAACUCGGGGCGUCCUGGCCUCCCAGGCAAGCGCUCUACCAGCUCAGUCACUGAAACUGUUUUACAGUGUUUAUGGCGACCCUGCCUCCGUCUCCAGCAUGGCUGACUGACAGGCCUUCUCCAGGCCUCCCUGUGACCGAGGGGAAAAUCAACCAGGGCUUGACAAUUGGUCUGGGUGUGCUGUGUUUUGAUUGGGUGGGCUGGAGGGUUGUGUCCUGGAGGUUGGCCACAGUACUUGGAGAGGACUUUUGAACCGGGUUGGUGGAUUUGGUGCAGCCUCCUUCCCCUGGGUGGUCCACAUCCUGGGGUCUCCAGACCGCAGG